UACGUAGGGGGCAAGCGUUGUCCGGAUUUAUUGGGCGUAAAGAGCGUGUAGGCGGUUUGGUAGGUCCGCUGUGAAAACUCGAGGCUCAACCUCGAGACGCCGGUGGAAACCAUCAGACUAGAGUCCGGAAGAGGAGAGUGGAAUUCCUGGUGUAGCGGUGAAAUGCGCAGAUAUCAGGAGGAACACCAGCGGUGUAGACGGCUUUCUGGACCAUUGCUGACGCUGAGACACGAAAGCGUGGGUAGCAAACAGG
rnacentral:rRNA from 1 species